UGACCUUUUGUGUUUAUUCCAGCCUUUAAGGCACAAUAAUCAUAAUUAAACUGUCAACACAUUAUACAACUACAUUAUUAUCUAUAAACUACAAUAAGAAAAAUAAGAGAGUAAAGGCAAGAUACAUGCAAUUUAGAGAGAUGCAAUGGUACAGAGUAAAAAUAUAGCAAAAUAUAUAAACCAGGUGAAAAAAAAAUCAGAAGAAGAGAAGAAUCUCUAUGAAUGUCAAAUCUACCAGAGUGUUGCUUAGAUUGUAAAAACAGAAAUGUCAUAUAAGUUUUGGACACUUAUUGAGGUAUUCUAAAAAAAAAAAAAGCUAAAUCCCCACUUGACAACAGCUAGAAACAAACUAAAAAUAAAGAAUUCUGAUAUUUAAAUUCCCAAACUUUUCCUUGAGGAAGAUGGCAUUAUUCUAUAUUCAUUUACACAGCAACUCUAAACAUUUCAGCCUGUAAGAAACAGUUUUACCUAUAAGAAAUGAUAUAAGAUAUAUACACCCUGUCUGACAAACAUGGUCCUUAACUUCUAGAAAGUCUAUAAUCCCUCUGCUGAAGAAGACGUCAUGAGAGAAUAGCAGGCUAGGCAAGUCACGCAAAUGGACGAGCCAUCUACUCCCUCCCCAGGCCUACAACAGGAUGAGCGUCUGCUGCAUCCUGACGUGAAUGCCAUGAUAAAUCAUGGCC
rnacentral:lncRNA from 1 species